GACGAACGCUGGCGGCGCGCCUAACACAUGCAAGUCGAACGGAGUCACGAGGAGCUUGCUUUUCUUGACUUAGUGGCGAACGGGUGAGUAACGCGUGAGUAACCUGCCCUGGAGUGGGGGACAACAGUUGGAAACGACUGCUAAUACCGCAUAAGCCCACGGAUCCGCAUGGAUCUGCGGGAAAAGGAUUUAUUCGCUUCAGGAUGGACUCGCGUCCAAUUAGCUAGUUGGUGAGGUAACGGCCCACCAAGGCGACGACUGGUAGCCGGACUGAGAGGUUGAACGGCCACAUUGGGACUGAGACACGGCCCAGACUCCUACGGGAGGCAGCAGUGGGGGAUAUUGCACAAUGGGGGAAACCCUGAUGCAGCGACGCCGCGUGGAGGAAGAAGGUUUUCGGAUUGUAAACUCCUGUCGUUAGGGACGAUAAUGACGGUACCUAACAAGAAAGCACCGGCUAACUACGUG
rnacentral:rRNA from 1 species